GUUGAGAAUGAACUUUAUUUGUUCAUCACCUUUUUAUUUUCUCUCUUGUUUCAUUCUUCUCUGGUUUAUGACGUCUCAAAAUAAUGCAAGUGUUGGGUCAACUUCUGGGUAUUUAGCCAAAAGCCAAAUCCAGAAAAUGAUGUGAUAGAGCAAUUGAGUGAGAACCUAGGGCUUGAGACAACACAAAUAGAUAUUUGGUUUUAUAACAAAGGACAUCACAUCAAGGUUUUUAUUAUAAAAUUUGUAUGGUCACUUGAAAUUUAUCAUAUAUACAGUGUAUAUAUAAAUGUUAAAUGUUCCUUUGAUAGUAUGUUGAAAUUGUAAACUUUUACGGACAAAUGGAAGUUUUUAGAAAACAACAAAAGGUUUUGAAAUGCUAAUUGAUUGUGGAUUUAAUA